AACGAACGCUGGCGGCAGGCUUAACACGUGCAAGUCGAACGCAUCCUUCGGGGUGAGUGGCAGACGGGUGAGUAACGCGUGGGAACGUGCCCUUCAGUUCGGGAUAACCCAGGGAAACUUGGGCUAAUACCGGAUACGUGCGAGAGCAGAAGGAUUUAUCGCUGAAGGAUCGGCCCGCGUCUGAUUAGCUAGUUGGUGGGGUAAUGGCCCACCAAGGCGACGAUCAGUAGCUGGUCUGAGAGGAUGAUCAGCCACAUUGGGACUGAGACACGGCCCAAACUCCUACGGGAGGCAGCAGUGGGGAAUAUUGGACAAUGGGCGCAAGCCUGAUCCAGCCAUGCCGCGCGAGUGAUGAAGGCCUUAGGGUUGUAAAGCUCUUUCGUCCGGGACGAUAAUGACGGUACCGGAAGAAGAAGCCCCGGCUAACUUCGUGCCAGCCGCCGCCGUAACAC
rnacentral:rRNA from 1 species